GACAGAGGGGGCAAGCGUUGCUCGGAAUUACUGGGCGUAAAGGGCGCGUAGGCGGGAUGGCAAGUCGGUCGUGAAAUCCCUCGGCUCAACCGAGGAACGUCGAUCGAUACUGCUGUUCUUGAGGAUUGCAGAGGAGACUGGAAUUCCCGGUGUAGCGGUGAAAUGUGUAGAGAUCGGGAGGAACACCGGUGGCGAAGGCGGGUCUCUGGGCAAUUCCUGACGCUGAACCGCGAAAGCCAGGGGAGCGAACGGG
rnacentral:rRNA from 1 species